rnacentral:snRNA from 1 species
GUGCUUGCUUCAGCAGCACAUAUACUUAAAAAAAACUGGAAUGAUACAGAGAAAAUUAGCAUGGCCCCUGUGCAAGGAUGACAUGCAAAUUUGUGAAGCAUUCCAUAUCGGG